rnacentral:rRNA from 1 species
GAGUUUGAUCAUGGCUCAGAAUCAACGCUGGCGGCGUGCCUAACACAUGCAAGUCGAACGAGAAAGCGGGGGCAACCCUGCAAGUACAGUGGCAGACGGGUGAGUAACACGUGAACAACCUACCCUUGAGUGGGGAAUAACACCGCGAAAGCGGUGCUAAUACCGCAUAACAUCCCUGGAUCGCAUGAUCCGGAGAUCAAAAGCGAAAGUUGCUCGAGGAGGGGUUCGCGCCUGAUUAGCUAGUUGGUGAGGUAACGGCUCACCAAGGCCACGAUCAGUAGCCGGCCUGAGAGGGCGAACGGCCACACUGGAACUGAGACACGGUCCAGACUCCUACGGGAGGCAGCAGUGGGGAAUUUUGCGCAAUGGGCGAAAGCCUGACGCAGCAACGCCGCGUGGAGGAUGAAGGCCUUCGGGUCGUAAACUCCUGUCAGUGGGGACGAAAGCCUCGCAAGAGGUUUGACUGUACCCGCUGAGGAAGCCACGGCUAACUCCGUGCCAGCAGCCGCGGUAAUACGGAGGUGGCAAGCGUUGUUCGGAAUUACUGGGCGUAAAGGGCGCGUAGGCGGCUUGGCAAGUCAGAUGUGAAAGCCCCGGGCUUAACUCGGGAAUUGCAUCUGAAACUGCUUUGCUUGAGUCCUGGAGGGGAUAGUGGAAUUCCCAGUGUAGCGGUGAAAUGCGUAGAUAUUGGGAGGAACACCUGCGGCGAAGGCGGCUAUCUGGACAGUGACUGACGCUGAGGCGCGAAAGCUAGGGGAGCGAACGGGAUUAGAUACCCCGGUAGUCCUAGCCGUAAACGAUGGGCACUUGGUGUUGGGGGUAUUGAGUCCCUCGGUGCCGGAGUUAACACGUUAAGUGCCCCGCCUGGGGAGUACGGUCGCAAGACUGAAACUCAAAGGAAUUGACGG